rnacentral:lncRNA from 1 species
UAGGUCAUUAGUUGGGGUAUUCUUGUGGGUUAGAGGUAGUAGUAGUUGGUAUUCGAAGAUAAUUCUUUCUCCCCAUGUUUCUUUUGUUUUUAGCAUUGGAAAGAUGUUUCUAAUUCUUUUCUAGGGUAAAGGAGGAAGAUGUCCAAUUGGGACAUCAAAUUUUUGUUGAAGGUAUGUAGGAGUUACCACAUUUGGGUCUAUUUGAAGUCCAUCAGGCAGCUGCCUGCAUUUCAGCUGCUUUUAAUUUGGUUUACCUAUAGUUGUGUUGCCGGCUGUUUUUUGUUGAGCAUUUUUUUGAGGCUAUUUGAAGUCCAUCAGGCAGCUGCCUGCAUUUCAGCUGCUUUUAGUUUGGUUUACCUAUAGUUGUGUUGCCGGCUGUUUUUUGUUGUGCAUUUUUUUGAGGCUAGUAGUAGUUUGCUGCUGGGUACUAUUCUUUUGAGAGCUGGAAUAGUACUUAUUUUGUUGCAACUCAUGCUGAAUUCCAAUCUUAACAAGGAAAUUUCUCUACCAGUCCAUGUUUCUUUUAUUCUGUUUUUUUUUUAAAAAUCUCUAUUGAUACCGCUGUAUUGGAAGUGAAAAAACAAUGUGAUCCGUUAUGAGCUGUGAGACAUGCAUCAAACUCCUU